UACAGAGGUCUCAAGCGUUGUUCGGAUUCAUUGGGCGUAAAGGGUGUCGUAGGCGGCGCGGUAAAGUCGGGUGUGAAAUCUUGGAGCUUAACUCCGAAACUGCAUUCGAUACUGCCGUGCUUGAGGACUGGGAGAGGAGACUGGAAAUUUACGGUGUAGCGGUGAAAUGCGUAGAUAUCGUAAAGGAAGACCAGUGGCGAAGGCGGGUCUCUGGACAGUUCCUGAC
rnacentral:rRNA from 1 species